UACGGAGGGGACUAGCGUUGUUCGGAAUUACUGGGCGUAAAGCGCAGCGUAGGCGGAUUUGUAAGUCAGGGGUGAAAUCCCGGGGCUCAACCUCGGAACUGCCUUUGAUACUGCAAAUCUCGAGUCCGGAAGAGGUGAGUGGAAUUCCUAGUGUAGAGGUGAAAUUCGUAGAUAUUAGGAAGAACACCAGUGGCGAAGGCGGCUCACGUGGUCCGGUAC
rnacentral:rRNA from 1 species